AGGUAAGUUGCUUAUAAAGGAGGGGAAACUCUGCUGUAAAGAAGGGAAGGAAACCCUGCCCGAGUCGGAGCCGAAAGCAAGCCGUUGGAAGGCACGAGCCCCUUGAAAUCCGUGCAAAACAGUAACCGAAACCGCAAGGUUUGGAUACAAAACAGUCUCGGUUUUUAUAGAACAGUCCACUUGGAGCGACGUUUGGCCGUGAAUUUGUGCAACCAAGAAGUGGGAAGAUUCGAUCUGUCAGGCUCGGGCUCAAAGGGAGAAGGCCUGGAGGCGGUGCGAGUGUAGUUAUCUUGUUUAGGCAUCUCUUACGAUGUUGUAGUAUGUUACAAGAUUUGUACUCUAACUUUGACAAUAUUUUGUCUCGUGGAGAAUGAAGUCUAC